GAUGAACGCCGGCGGUGUGCCUAAUACAUGCAAGUCGUACGCACUGGCCCAACUGAUUGAUGGUGCUUGCACCUGAUUGACGAUGGAUCACCAGUGAGUGGCGGACGGGUGAGUAACACGUAGGUAACCUGCCCCGGAGCGGGGGAUAACAUUUGGAAACAGAUGCUAAUACCGCAUAACAACAGAAGCCACAUGGCUUUUGUUUGAAAGAUGGCUUUGGCUAUCACUUUGGGAUGGACCUGCGGUGCAUUAGCUAGUUGGUAAGGUAACGGCUUACCAAGGCGAUGAUGCAUAGCCGAGUUGAGAGACUGAUCGGCCACAAUGGAACUGAGACACGGUCCAUACUCCUACGGGAGGCAGCAGUAGGGAAUUUUCCACAAUGGGCGCAAGCCUGAUGGAGCAACACCGCGUGAGUGAAGAAGGGUUUCGGCUCGUAAAGCUCUGUUGUUGGAGAAGAACGUGCGUGAGAGUAACUGUUCACGCAGUGACGGUAUCCAACCAGAAA
rnacentral:rRNA from 1 species